GAGAUUCCCACUGUCCCUGUCU
rnacentral:snRNA from 1 species